rnacentral:rRNA from 1 species
GAUGAACGCUGGCGGCGUGCCUAAUACAUGCAAGUCGAGCGAAUGGAUUAAGAGCUUGCUCUUAUGAAGUUAGCGGCGGACGGGUGAGUAACACGUGGGUAACCUGCCCAUAAGACUGGGAUAACUCCGGGAAACCGGGGCUAAUACCGGAUAACAUUUUGAACCGCAUGGUUCGAAAUUGAAAGGCGGCUUCGGCUGUCACUUAUGGAUGGACCCGCGUCGCAUUAGCUAGUUGGUGAGGUAACGGCUCACCAAGGCAACGAUGCGUAGCCGACCUGAGAGGGUGAUCGGCAACACUGUGACUGAGACACGGCCCAGACUCCUACGGGAGGCAGCAGUAGGGAAUCUUCCGCAAUGGACGAAAGUCUGACGGAGCAACGCCGCGUGAGUGAUGAAGGCUUUCGGGUCGUAAAACUCUGUUGUUAGGGAAGAACAAGUGCUAGUUGAAUAAGCUGGCACCUUGACGGUACCUAACCAGAAAGCCACGGCUAACUACGUGCCAGCAGCCGCAGUAA